rnacentral:rRNA from 1 species
GACGAACGCUGGCGGCGUGCUUAACACAUGCAAGUCGAACGCUGAAGCCCAGCUUGCUGGGUGGAUGAGUGGCGAACGGGUGAGUAACACGUGAGUAACCUGCCCUUCACUCUGGGAUAACUCCGGGAAACCGGUGCUAAUACUGGAUAGGACUCCUGCCUGCAUGGGUGGGGGUGGAACGAUUUAUCGGUGGAGGAUGGACUCGCGGCCUAUCAGCUUGUUAGUGGGGUAAUGGCCUACCAAGGCGACGACGGGUAGCCGGCCUGAGAGGGUGACCGGCCACACUGGGACUGAGACACGGCCCAGACUCCUACGGGAGGCAGCAGUGGGGAAUAUUGCACAAUGGGCGGAAGCCUGAUGCAGCGACGCCGCGUGCGGGAUGACGGCCUUCGGGUUGUAAACCGCUUUCAGUAGGGACGAAGCUUUUGUGACGGUACCUACAGAAGAAGCACCGGCUAACUACGUGCCAGCCGCCGCUGUAAAAC